UUUGACCCCAAUUUUACGGUUCACUGAACAUAGAAAAUGAUAGUGCAAAUUUCAGGUUAAAGUUUUUGGUCAAGGUAGUUUUUGAUGAAGUUGAAGUCCAUUCAACUUGAAACUUAGUAUACAUGUGCCCUAUGAUAUGAUCUUUCUAAUUUAAAUGCCAAAUUAGAGUUUUGACCCCAAUUUUACGAUUCACUGAACAUAGAAAAUGAUAGUGCAAAUUUCAGGUUAAAGUUUUUGGUCAAGGUAGUUUUUGAUAAAGUAGAAGUCCAAUCAACUUGAAACUUAGUA
rnacentral:lncRNA from 1 species